rnacentral:rRNA from 1 species
GUCCACGCCGUAAACGAUGAAUGUUAGCCGUCGGGCAGUUGACUGUUCGGUGGCGCAGCUAACGCAUUAAACAUUCCGCCUGGGGAGUACGGUCGCAAGAUUAAAACUCAAAGGAAUUGACGGGGCCCGCACAAGCGGUGGAGCAUGUGGUUUAAUUCGAAGCAACGCGCAGAACCUUACCAGCUCUUGACAUCUGGGUCGCGGUUACCGGAGACGGUAACCUUCAGUUCGGCUGGACCCAAGACAGGUGCUGCAUGGCUGUCGU